rnacentral:rRNA from 1 species
UACGGGGGGGGGCAAGCGUUGUUCGGAAUUACUGGGCGUAAAGAGCUCGUAGGCGGCUUGUUGCGUCGACCGUGAAAACCCGGGGCUCAACUUCGGGCUUGCGGUCGAUACGGGCGGGCUAGAGUUCGGUAGGGGAGACUGGAAUUCCUGGUGUAGCGGUGAAAUGCGCAGAUAUCAGGAGGAACACCGGUGGCGAAGGCGGGUCUCUGGGCCGAUACUGACGCUGAGGAGCGAAAGCGUGGGGAGCGAACAGG